UACGUAGGGGGGCAAGCGUUGUCCGGAAUUAUUGGGCGUAAAGCGCGUGUAGGCGGCCAGAUAAGUCCGCUGUGAAAUCUCGAGGCUCAACUUCGAGCUGUCGGUGGAAACUGUCUGGCUAGAGUCCGGAAGAGGAGAAUGGAAUUCCUGGUGUAGCGGUGAAAUGCGCAGAUAUCAGGAAGAACACCCGUGGCGAAAGCGGCUCUCUGGAACGGUACUGACGCUGAGACGCGAAAGCGUGGGGAGCGAACAGG
rnacentral:rRNA from 1 species